AAAUUUGGUGUCGACUCCAUGUGUCAGCUCAAAAUACCCGAAAAUCGUCAAAAAUCGCAAAUUUUCCUGAACUGAAAAAUCGCGAUUUUGGUCAAAUCCGACUUUUAGCUAAAAACACAUCAUUCCAACCCUAAAUUUGAUACGGAUCACGAAAUUCCUGCUCGUUGUGUUAUGGGAUCACUAUUUUCGGAGAUAUUGGCUACUUCCGGUUACUUCCGGAAUAUUUUCAUGAUAAUCUGCAAAAAGUAAAAAAUGAGUUGUAUUGUUCUAACAAUUUCAAAUACUUUUAUCGCAUACGUUAGGGUGUGGUAGCUAUUAUUCCGUGUUUUUCUUGCUUUAAACACUACAGGUGGAUCCUACGAGUUACGACAGUUUUACCUGCAAAUGUUUAGCAUUUCGUGCUGCAACUAGUAGUUGAUAUUCUAGGAUUUUAUGCCUAAAAUUGGAAUUCGGCUAUCAAAGAUUUGCAAAAUUCAAGUUUAAAAGCAAGUAUUAGAUUUAUUUUAACAAUCAAAGUAAAAUAUUAUUUUGGGUUCUAGGCAGAAACUCUAGAUGGCGUUGAUGUGCGUCUAUGAUGAAGAUUACGAGUGACAAGUGAAAUGGGCGUUUGUUACGUUACUCUGUUUCGUGUUUCGAAGGAUUUUUCGUCAAACAAUUUAUGAUUGCUUUUUGUAUGUGGUGGUGUUUUGCCUUGUCAGCUAUGCCAGCUGCUGAACCAGCAGCCUGCAUUCUUGUUAUCAAUGUACCACAAGGGAUCAUAACACUUUAAGAAGGCCACUAUUCCUUACAUGACGAUCACCAUCCAGUUCAAGUACUGUUAAAUGGACCUCAAGUCUUUUGUUUAAACUAAGUGAUGUGUUCUCUCAUGAGUCAACCACAGAGUCUUCAUCUACUUUGUGUUGCUAACCAUCAGCCCUCAGCAUCCCAAGUAUCCCGAUUUCCAAACUUCUCUGAUAGCCAACCAUCAUCCAUACACUUCAGCUCUUCAUUGUGGCUUCUCUUCCUCUCUUCUUCUUCUACCGAAUGCCAACAUGGAAUAAGGUUCAUCUUUUGUGUUACCAUGAAAAUUGUCAUUAUUAAUCCUGCUGUUGUUCUCACUGUUACUUAGACAGCUACCAUGGAUAGGCUUUAACACCAUCUUCAUUUUUUGGACUGCAAAUAUUCAUCUUCCUUCGGUGCAACACUGCCGUUUUGACAAUUUCGGAAGUUCGCCCCCAGUGGACCAUACACAACUAUAUUUUCUUCGUCUUCCUGUCGUUAUCUACGACUCACCUCAUCGCUGUCUUCGUGUACGUUUUCACAUCAUCACUGUGUUCGUCGUCGUCUUCGCCUUUGUUUCAUCGCCAUCACCUUAUCGCCGUCUUUGUCUACGCCUCGCCUCGUCGCCCUGGUAUUGCUUUAUUUUGCAUUGUAAUGUUUAAGUUAACCCGUUGGCUGCCACCCCGUUUGCGUCCCAUUUUUUUUAUAGCUUGUAGGGAUCGGGCGCUGUUCUGCCCCAUGGCCAUGGGGGGAACAGUCGCCGCGCCUAAAGGAUUUGUGCCUUUAGGCGCCGUAGGUAAUGCACCAGUAGGGACUCUCUUUGUCGGUGCGGUAAUAGAUUCCUGGGGUGUGCAUUCCCGGAAUGGAUUCUAUUGCCGUGUCAGCCCGGACUUGUCUUCGGAUUAGUGUUGGCGAUUAUCUAAUUUGGUUAGAUACAAAUUAUCUACGCCCACUUUUAGAUAACGAUACGAUUAUCGAUAAAGUAUCUAAUUAUCCCCAUCUACUGGCCAAAAAAUAUACUGCGUACAUGAUUGUAUCAAUAUAUAAAACACGGUUAACAUAAUAUUUAAAAAUUAUAUGCAGAAGGGAUUGUGAGUUGUGGUAAUCACGGUACUACUAACAAGCCUCAAACAGUAAAACAAAAAAAUUGCAGUUUUUUCUAAUUUGCAUCGAUACUCGUCAACAAUCGUGAUUUAUCACGGCGAGAAUUUGUAAAAAUAUAGUAUGUAGUAGCGCUAAGGUUAACGAGUUGGUCUGUGAACAAAAAGUUCGGAGUUCGAAUCCAGAAGCGACUGUAUAUUUUUUCUUGAUGAUUGGCUCUUGAAAAUACAUUUUUAACGCAUUUGAAAGCUAGCAGACGACGGAAAGAUUAGAUUUUUGUUUACAAUUUGUAUCGAUACUACCCAACAGCAAUAAAACUUUUUUAUGCUGAAAGAUCUCUAUAGACUACUGGCGCAGUGGUAUAAUACAAGUCUAGUGAUACUAAGGCAGUGGGUUCAAACCUAACCGAAGAAAUUUUUUCAGCGGUUUUAUUGUAGGGAAAAGCUAGCCUAAAUUAUUUUUGACGGAUUUUAUAAAUCGGUUGCAUAACAGAACUAUAUUUUUUUAAUUCUAAUGUUUCUUAUUGUACUUUGAAUUAGUUAUUAAUUUAAUUUUAAAAGAAUUAGUAAUUGCGGUGGCAGCCCUGAUAUCAAUAUUAAACAAAUUUGCUAUCUAGCCAAAUAUAGUGUUGCAGACCACGAUAAUUUUAGAUUUUCGUCUGCAAUUUGUAUCGAUACAACCCAACAACAAUAAAAUCAUUAUUGUGCUGAGUAAUGUCUACAGAGUAUUGGCACAGUGGUAUAAUACAAGGCUAGCGAUUUAGAGGUAUUGGGUUCAAAACUGAACAAAGUAUUUUUUUCAGCGUUUUUAUUGUUAGGAAAAGCUUGCUUAAAUAUUUUUUGAUGGGAUUUUAGAAAUCGGUUGUGCAACAGACCUAAACUUUUUGAAUUAUAAUGUUUCUUAUUGUAAUUUGAAUUAGUAAUUAAUUUAAUUUCAAAAGAAUUAGUAAUUGCGGUGGCAACCCUGAUAUCUAUCAAUAUUAAACAAAUUUGCUAUCCAGCCAAAUAUAGUGUUACAGACGACGAUAAUUUUAGAUUUUCGUCUGCAAUUUGUAUCGAUACUACCCAACAACAACAACUUCAUUGUUGUGCUGUAUCAAACAUACAGAGCAUUGGCGCAGUGGUAUAAUACAAGGCUACCGAUGCAGAGGUAUUGCGUUCAAACCUCAACGAAGAAUGUUUUUCAACGAUUUUAUUGUUGGGAAAAGCUUGCUUAAAUGAUUUUAGACGGGAUUUUCUAAAGCAAUUGCAUAACAGACCUAUAUUUUUUUAAUUCUAAUGUUUCUUAUUGUAAUUUGAAUUAGUAAUUAAUUUAAUUUUAAAAGAAUUAGUCAUUGCUGUGGCAACCCUGAUGUCAAUAGUAAACAAAUUUACAAUCCAGCCAAAUAUAGUGUUGCAGACGACGAUAAUUUUAGAUUUUCGUCUGCAUUUUGUAUCGAUACUAACCAACAACAGUCAAUUCUUUUUAACUUACAAAACAGUUACCAACUUGAUUGGUAUAGUGGUAUGAGAUAAAGCUCAUGACAUCAAGGAUCCGUGUUCGAUCCCAAUAACCAACAUAACUUUUUUAUUGCACAUUAGUCUGGGAAAAUGGUGAUUUUACAGUGGUAAUCGUUGAUAAUUUGAAGGUUUGACUUUUACUAUUUUCUAUUUGAUUUUAUAUUUGGAAAAUUAUAUCGAUUGUCGUUCAUAUAGUUUACUUUAAAUGUAGCAUAAACUUAAUAAUACUGCAGGCAACUAUAGCUCUGUGGUAUCAUACAGUAUUUGGGAUUCAGAAUAUCGAAGUUCAAAUCUCACUCCAUCCACAUCUUUUAUUUCGUAUGGGGUAUUAACAUUUAUUUUGUGUGUUCUUUGUGUUUGGACUAUUUUGCAAUUAGAAAUCGUCUUAAUUUUUUCGUUUAGCAUGAAAAAUACAAAAAAUUGGAUGUAAAAUUCGAUAAAAAUAUAGAUAAAACUAGCUUUGUAACAUACUGUUUAGUCUUAAGAAAAGCAGACGAUGAUCAGUUCAGAUUUGUAUUGUGCAAUUUAUAUCGAUAUUCGGUAACAAAAUAA